rnacentral:rRNA from 1 species
UACGGGAGGCAGCAGUGGGGAAUAUUGCACAAUGGGGGAAACCCUGAUGCAGCGACGCCGCGUGAGCGAAGAAGUAUUUCGGUAUGUAAAGCUCUAUCAGCAGGGAAGAAAAUGACGGUACCUGACUAAGAAGCACCGGCUAAAUACGUGCCAGCAGCCGCGGUAAUACGUAUGGUGCAAGCGUUAUCCGGAUUUACUGGGUGUAAAGGGAGCGUAGACGGUUGUGUAAGUCUGAUGUGAAAGCCCGGGGCUCAACCCCGGGACUGCAUUGGAAACUAUGUAACUAGAGUGUCGGAGAGGUAAGCGGAAUUCCUAGUGUAGCGGUGAAAUGCGUAGAUAUUAGGAGGAACACCAGUGGCGAAGGCGGCUUACUGGACGAUCACUGACGUUGAGGCUCGAAAGCGUGGGGAGCAAACAGGAUUAGAUACCCUGGUAGUCCACGCCGUAAACGAUGACUACUAGGUGUCGGGGAGCAAAGCUCUUCGGUGCCGCAGCAAACGCAAUAAGUAGUCCACCUGGGGAGUACGUUCGCAAGAAUGAAACUCAAAGGAAUUGACGG